GGGGCUGGGGCUCAGUGGUAGAGUGCUUGCCUUGCAUGCAUGAGGCCUUGGGUUUGAUUCCUCAGCACCA
rnacentral:tRNA from 1 species